rnacentral:rRNA from 1 species
GACGAACGCUGGCGGCAUGCCUAACACAUGCAAGUCGAACGGCAGCGCGGGUAGCAAUACCUGGCGGCAAGUGGCGGACGGGUGAGGAAUACAUCGGAAUCUACCCAGUCGUGGGGGAUAACGCAUCGAAAGGUGCGCUAAUACCGCAUACGACCGAGAGGUGAAAGCGGAGGACCGAAAGGCUUCGCGCGAAUGGAUGAGCCGA